UGACUCCUACGGGAGGCAGCAGUGGGGAAUAUUGGGCAAUGGGCGCAAGCCUGACCCAGCAACGCCGCGUGAAGGAAGAAGGCUUUCGGGUUGUAAACUUCUUUUCUCAGGGACGAAGAAAGUGACGGUACCUGAGGAAUAAGCCACGGCUAACUACGUGCCAGCAGCCGCGGUAAUACGUAGGUGGCAAGCGUUAUCCGGAUUUACUGGGUGUAAAGGGCGGGUAGGCGGGGAAGCAAGUCAGAUGUGAAAACCCCGGGCUCAACC
rnacentral:rRNA from 1 species